rnacentral:rRNA from 1 species
AGUGAACGCUGGCGGUAGGCCUAACACAUGCAAGUCGAACGGCAGCACAGUAAGAGCUUGCUCUUACGGGUGGCGAGUGGCGGACGGGUGAGGGAUACAUCGGAAUCUACUUUUUCGUGGGGGAUAACGUAGGGAAACUUACGCUAAUACCUCAUACGACCUACGGGUGAAAGCAGGGGAUCUUCGUACCUUUCGCGAAUGAAUGAGCCGAUGUCGGAUUAGCUAGUUGGCGGGGUAAAGGCCCACCAAGGCGACGAUCCGUAGCUGGUCUGAGAGGAUGAUCAGCCACACUGGAACUGAGACACGGUCCAGACUCCUACGGGAGGCAGCAGUGGGGAAUAUUGGACAAUGGGCGCAAGCCUGCUCCAGCCAUACCGCGUGGGUGAAGAAGGCCUUCGGGUUGUAAAGCCCUUUUGUUGGGAAAGAAAAGCAGCAGGUUAAUACCCCGAUGUUCUGACGGUACCCAAAGAAUAAGCACCGGCUAACUUCGUG